rfam:Picea glauca, whole genome shotgun sequence.
ACAUGCAUACAACUUAGUGUUAAUGCAUCGGGUCCCAUUAGAAAUUUGCAGCUAAGUGCGCUCGGCAAGAGUAGUAUUGGGAUGGGUGACUGCCUGGGAAGUCCUAGUAUUUUACAUGCC